GUGGGGAAUCUUGCGCAAUGGGCGAAAGCCUGACGCAGCCAUGCAGCGUGAAUGAUGAAGGUCUUAGGAUUGUAAAAUUCUUUCACCGGGGACGAUAAUGCCGGUACCCGGAGAAGAAGCCCCGGCUAACUUCGUGCCAGCAGCCGCGGUAAUACGAAGGGGGCUAGCGUUGCUCGGAAUUACUGGGCGUAAAGGGCGCGUAGGCGGACAGUUUAGUCAGAGGUGAAAGCCCAGGGCUCAACGUUGGAAUUGCCUUUGAUACUGGCUGUCUUGAGAACGGGAGAGGUGAGUGGAACUCCGAGUGUAGAGGUGAAAUUCGUAGAUAUUCGAAAGAACACCAGUGGCGAAGGCGACUCACUGGCCCGUUACUGACGCUGAGGCGCGAAAGCGUGGGGAGCAAACAGGAUUAGAAACCCGAGUAAUCC
rnacentral:rRNA from 1 species